rnacentral:lncRNA from 1 species
AAAUAUGGUGAAAUAUAUUUAUUACCUAUGAAGUGUAACACUUCAUAUGCAGUCAGCAGAGUGCAGUAAAAAGAAUACUACACCCUGCGAAAGAAUACUUGAUUGUGAGAGCUAAAUUUGGCAUUUAUUAUCUGUGAGAUAUUGACAGAUCACUUUUCAAUUUACAUCUCAGUAUUCUGAUAGCAAAAUGGAACAAUAAUGACAUUCUUAAAUUGCUACUGUGAAAACCAACUGAGACAUAAAGUGAGAAGUGAUUUUCAAGCAUAGAAAAGAUAUUAAAGACGUAAAGCAUAUAUUUGUAUGUAUAUUCUGUGUAUGUAUGUUUACAUAUAUUUGUAUAUAUGUUCUGAUUUUAAAAUAUGUAAUUAUUGUAAACAGAUGCAAUAUUAUAUUGUGAAACACAGGAAACAUUAAAAAAUUAUGGACAGGGUAAGACGCUGUCUCAAAAAAGUAGGAUCACAAAUAACCUAAAAUAUAAAAAAAAUCAGUUUAAUUUCUCUGUAAAAUUCUAUAAAUAUUGCUAUUUUAUACUUUAUGUAUUUAAAUUAUGUCUGAGCUAAAAAUUUUGGGGUUUUCAUUAUUAGCAUAAACACCUUUGUAAAUAAAUACAUAUACUUUUUUUCAGAAAAAAAUACUUGAAGUAGAUUUAUUAAGUCACAUUGGUGAAGAUAUUUAUAGCCAAUUUUCCUCUGGAACUUAAUGCUAACUUUGGAUCCUCUAAGUAGUGAAUCAGAAGUCUUGGGUAUUUAUCACUUAAAACAAAUCUUUGAUAGUUCAAUAGUUAAAAAAUAUUGGUCUUUCAAUAAGUAUAUUUUGGCUUACUAGAAUAAAUCAUUUUUAAAAUUAUUGGGCAUCUUAUUAAUGUUGUUUAUUUUUCUAUGAGGUAAUUAGUCUCUUAUUUUAUUAAUUUGUAUGCUAAUUUGCUGAACUCCAGUAUUCUUAUCUGCAGUAUGGGGAGAAUAAUCCUUCUCAUGGAGAGUUUUUUAAAAAUUGGGUCAUUAAAUGACAUAAUAUAACCUAGAUUUUGGAGAAAAUUAUUAAUAGAAUGUAAAAGGUAUCAUAGUGAAUAAGGUAGCAUUAGAAGAUUAAUUAUAAUGUUCCAUAGCUCAUGUUUUUUUUUAAAUAUAGAGUUCUAGAAAAACAAAAUUAUGAAAUCAAUUACUACAAAUUAUUUCAUAGAAUGAACUACAUAAUUAUAUGUUUUCUAUAUUUUUUCCUGGAAAUUGAUUCAACCAAUAAAUAUUUAUUAAUCACCUAAUAGAUCUAGUCACCUUGCUGGCUGGGAGAGCACAUAUUGUAUAAUUUAAAAAUAGAUAUUAAUAAUGUAUAUCACUCUAAUAGGAUCAAAAGUUAACUGUUAAAUGUUCUAUGGGUGAAUGUGUAAACAGAUUGUGAUUCAUCCCCACAAAAUAAUAUGACUUAGCAAUAUAAAAGAAAACAUUCUUGAGACAUGCAACAAAUUGGAUGGAUCUCAAGGGCAUUAUGCUAAGUGUAAAAGGGAAUUUCAAAAGCUUGCAUUUGGUAUGAUUCCACUUGUAUACUAUUCUGGAAAUAAUAAAAUUAUAGUGUUGGGGAACACAUCAGUGGCAGUCAAGGGUUAAGGCUGUGGGAAGGCUGGGACUAGAAGAUUGUAGCAAGGGCAGUUUUGUUUGGAAUGAAAGAAUAUUACUAUAUCCUGAUUUUUGUGGUGGUUACAAAUCUACACAUGUGAAACAAUCGUAUAGAACUAUACACACACACACACACGCACAUAAAGUGUGUCCAUAAAAACCUAGUGAAAUAUGUCUGAAGUCUGUAAUUUAGUUAAUAGUAUUAAGCCAAUGUCAAUUUCCUGGUUUUGAUUGUUAUACUUUGGCUAUGUAAAAUGUUGUCAUUGCAGGUAUCCGGGUGAAGGAUGCCUUAGAAUGCUCUGCAGUAUGUUUACAACUUCUAUAUAAAUAUAUUUUCAAACGUCAAUAGUUGAAAAAUACAUAACCAUUGUUCUAUAUACUGUACAGUCUUCAAUAUUAUCAUAGUUGAUUAUGACUGAAAUAUAGUUAAUUCCAACAAGAUAGGACCCAUGUACAAUGUAUUACCACUCCAUCUCCAACACCUGUAAUGUUUCCUGGAAUAUAGAAGGCACUCAAUAAACACUGCUGACUGAAAAAAUUAACACAAAAAUUAUCAAGUAGGUGAAUCUGAAAUAAAUAAGCUAAUUGCAUAUUGUUGUAGUUUUAGAUUGUUUCUAACUUCUGCAGAUACAAUGUCACCACAAAGAGCAUCUUCAUUGAUACAGUUUCUCCCCU